AACGAACGCUGGCGGCGUGUUUAAGACAUGCAAGUCGCACGGAGUCAAUUGAGUAGCAAUACAAGAUUGGUUCAGUGGCGCACGGGUGAGUAACACGUGAAUAACAUGCCCUGCAGAGGGGGAUAGCCCAGGGAAACUUGGAUUAAUACCCCAUGGCCUCGCAAGAGUAAAGGCGGCUUCGGCUGUCGCUGCAGGAGUGGUUCGCGCCCUAUCAGCUUGUUGGCGGGGUAACGGCCCACCAAGGAUACGACGGGUACCUGGUCUGAGAGGACGAUCAGGCACACUGGAACUGAGACACGGUCCAGACACCUACGGGUGGCAGCAGUCGAGAAUAAUUCACAAUGGGGGCAACCCUGAUGGUGCAACGCCGCGUGGAGGAUGAAGGUCUUCGGAUUGUAAACUCCUGUCAUCCGGGAGCAAGACCUGGCCGUGAAUAGCGGACAGGGUUGAUAGUACCGGAAGAGGAAGGGACGGCUAACUUCGUGCCAGCCGCCGCGGUAACAC
rnacentral:rRNA from 1 species